AGUGAACGCUGGCGGUAGGCCUAACACAUGCAAGUCGAACGGCAGCACAGGAGAGCUUGCUCUCUGGGUGGCGAGUGGCGGACGGGUGAGGAAUACAUCGGAAUCUACUCUGUCGUGGGGGAUAACGUAGGGAAACUUACGCUAAUACCGCAUACGACCUACGGGUGAAAGCAGGGGACCUUCGGGCCUUGAGCGAUUGAAUGAGCCGAUGUCGGAUUAGCUAGUUGGCGGGAUAAAGGCCAACCAAGGCGACGAUCCGUAGCUGGUCUGAGAGGGUGAGCAGCCACACUGGAACUGAGACACGGUCCAGACUCCUACGGGAGGCAGCAGUGGGGAAUAUUGGACAAUGGGCGCAAGCCUGAUCCAGCCAUACCGCGUGGGUGAAGAAGGCCUUCGGGUUGUAAAGCCCUUUUGUUGGGAAAGAAAUCCAGCUGGCUAAUACCCGGUUGGGAUGACGGUACCCAAAGAAUAAGCACCGGCCAACUUCGUGCCAGCAGCCGCCGUAA
rnacentral:rRNA from 1 species